rnacentral:lncRNA from 1 species
UUUUAUCAAUCUUUCAAUCUCCGCGAUUAACUGAAAACAGUUAUUUGUAUCGUGGCCAUGCGUCCGGUGGUAUUGACAAUACUUGUCAGGAUUCCUCUGAUCUGCUUCCGACUUCAAAGGUUUGGGCCACUGGAGAAACUCCUUAUCCUGGACAGCCAUGAGCACCUCGGCUCUGGACGCAUUUAAUGGAGUCGGUUUCUCCGGGACCCAAGGAGGGAGCACUCUUGGUUCGAGGACCCGAGGAGGAGGAGGCCUUUGAUCCCUUCUUUCCCAGGCCUGCUUGUACGGCUCAGGCCUCUUUCCACGCUUCUUCUCGUGUUUCUCCGACCUCCCUUCCUCCGGGGCUUUCUCUUUUCCUUCCACCCCUUUGGCAAAUCUACUCGUUACUAAGGCGUCAUCCUGCCUUAUAUACUU